GAUUAUGUUGAUGAUUUGUACCACCUGAGGUCCUUCAUUUGGAGCAACCUAUUUUUUGGUGUCACGGAUAGUGCUGAUUGGGCUGGAUUUGACUAUCUUAUUGGUUCCAGGAAGAUGCAGCAAAAGUAAGUUCCUCACCACUGCACAGCCAGACCACGGAGUGGCUGUUGGUGCUAGCCAUCCCGCACAGCUCUCUGCGCUCCACCCCAUCAUCCUCUUGCGCCCCACCGCUCCAUCGACGCCAGAAGCAAGAAACCCUCAGGAGAGAUCGGCCACCAGUGCCUCGAAAAGAUGACCGAGUUCGCGGAGUACCUGGCUCGAGGGGUUGUGCAGCUGCGAGCUGCUCAUGAUGCGAGUUAUGAUGCCAUGUCUCAACAGCACUCUCACGUCGGCGGGCCUGCGCUGAAAUAGGUACAGAUCUACUUGCUACUCUCGAGCUCCCCCAUCAUCAUCCCCCUACUGAUGUAUCCAUACAUGGAUCAGAUCGUCAUAGCUAGAUGCACUGCUAACGUAGCUUGUUUCUCUUGUGCUAUGAACACAGACAACUGCUGGAGGCUAUGUUAGGUCAUACAGAUUCCACUAUGAUCUUACCCAGCCCAUAACUUAAGGCACAAUGAUCAUCGAGUCCAACGGAACACCCCAGUUGCAUGAGCACCACAUCACUAUUCUCUUCUUGAGUGACGACGAAGCGUGCAAUGGGGAAACUGGUGAAAGGAUGGUCACGGAAACCCGGAAGCUUGCUUACUGCCCUAACUCGGUUGUAGAAGCAUAUUUCUGUUCUUUCUGUGAAGCAAUCGGCCGUUGGGUUGUGGUUUAUGAGACGUUUGACAGAUUCUUCUCCGGCAACGACGGCAUGCUCUCACCCUUCUUCGUCAACCAGGAAAAGUUAGAAUUGAUGGCCUUUUGGAUGGCAAAAAUCAGGUGAGUGUGAGUAGCAAGAAACAACAUUAUCUUCUCGAUCUGUAGACUUCUUGAUGGUGUAUCACUUGGAGAAAACUGCUCAAAAGCUUCUCUAAUUUUGCAGAUCAUUCAGUGUUGCUGUUUCUUUGUCCAAAUCAAGAGGUGCCGUCCAUGGUGGCCUUUUCCGCAGGACUAGGUACAUCAUUUCCUUGGGAACGGUAAAAAUCAUCAAUGUAGAAAGGGCCCAGCGCUCAAGGGAUUAUGUUGAUGAUUUGUACCACCCGAGGUCCUUCAUUUGGAGCAACCCAUUUUCUAGUAUCACAGACAGUGCUGAUUAGGCUGGAUUUGACUAUCUUCUUUGUUCCAGGAAGAUGCAGCAAAAGUAAAUUUCUUGACUUCAACUUAAAUUCCACUUUCACACUAUUGUACAUCAUUUCCUAAAUUUCUUGUCUUGUGUCUAGUUUGAGGUGUAGAUGUACAUAUGGUUGCUUUGCUCCCCAGUAGUUCUAAAAUAUGUCUAGGUAUAUAUGUAUACUUUAGGAAGCAUAUACAUACCAUUUUACAUAUGUGAUCUGGUAUAGCAAUAUUGCCCCAGCCACUAGUACUAGUCACUGUAUCUGCAGUCCCACAUGAAGCAGGCCAUGACCAAAGGCAUAAAACUCGAUUGGUUAGUGGUCGUUCAUUAUCGAAUUAUUACAAACUCUCCUUUCGUAGUGCUGAGCCUCUGACUAUUAAGUCGGGUGAUUGUGACCAGUCAUGUUCUUCUUAUCAAAUUGUUUAUUUCGAUCCAGUUUGAAAAGGGCUGCGGCAUUGUCCAUCGUACACUUUCUUAUCUCAAUUUAUGGCUCUGUUUGGAUUGUACAUUGAUGCUGCUCUAGAGAGAAACCUUAUCUAUGUACAAGCUGGAAAUUAGCAGAGCCAGAUUCAUUUCUUCAUUUGUUAUAAAAAAUAAAUGUUGAAAUCCAUUUGAGAUGGAUUGCAUUAUGCUUAAUGGAAAUAUAGAUUGUUUUUAAGUAAAUCUGGAGUCCAGCCUAAUAGCUUUUCUUUUCAUCCAGAGACUGGGAAACAGUUCUAUUGAAUCAUCCAAUUUUAUUGGAGCCAGAUGAUUUGCUUGUUAGUAUUGAAGAACUUGAAACUUUUAUGUGGGGCAAGGAUUGGUUGCAAACUAGAUUUGCAAAUGUACUUUAUGUGAAAAUGCCUAGGUACCGAGAAAACUUCAAUAUUUUAUUGACCGAACCGUGUCCUCGUUAGAGUCUUGGCAAAGAGUAAACCCCUCUCUAUCAUCUAUUUGGCCAUCAUUCAGUUCUCAAGGAACAUGCAUCUCCACGCAU
rnacentral:lncRNA from 1 species